rnacentral:rRNA from 1 species
GACGAACCGUGCAAACGUUGUUCGGAAUCACUGGGCUUAAAGGGCGCGUAGGCGGAUGGUCAAGUCCGGGGUGAAAUCUUUCGGCUCAACCGGAAAAUAGCUUCGGAUACUGACUGUCUCGAGGGAGGUAGGGGCAUGUGGAACUUCCGGUGGAGCGGUGAAAUGCGUUGAUAUCGGAAGGAACGCCGGUGGCGAAAGCGACGUGCUGGACCUUUUCUGACGCUGGGGCGCGAAAGCUAGGGGAGCAAACGGG